rnacentral:rRNA from 1 species
AAAUAGAUAUAGGCUUAAAGUAAAAUGGAUUAAUCUGUUUGAAUAAAGGGGAACCUUCCUCUAAGCCUUAAUAUAAUAUACAAGAAAUAGAGAAUAGUACUGUGAAGGAAGUAUGUAAAAUAGUAGUCUUAUAAGCAGCUCAAGGUAAGUUUAAUAAACAUAUGAGAGCGUACCUUUUGUAUAAUGGGUCAGCAAGUUCUAGUUAGAUGCAAGCAAGUAGUGAUUAGUGGUGAUAGAUUAAAUUUAAGAAAUUAAAUUGAAGAAACAUAAUUUUAAUACACAAAAAAGAAUCAAUUUGCCUAGAUAAUCCAAUUAUUAAGUAAUGAAUUAGUAUCUAAUUAGAGACCCGAAGAGUAGUGAUCUUACCAUGGUCAGGCUUAUAAAAGGCCGAAUGGGUUAUCGUUGUAAAGAUAUCCAAAGAACUGUGGUAAGUUAGUGAAAGACAAUCCUGACUACUAUAGCUGGUUUUCCGCGAAACAUAUGUAAGUAUGUAGUUUAAAUAACAUCAUAGCAGGUACAGAACUGUGAUCUCGGACAAUUUGUGCAUUAAUAUCCUAUUAGGGUAUAUAAUGCCUUGUGCAUAUGGGGGGGUCGUGAAGACUCUAUUCGCGAGUAUUUGCUCUCGGAAGGGCAAUGAUGAGUGUUGAACUAUCAGACAUUUAACGAUAAGGUUGUGUGUCAAAAGGGAAACAGCCCAGAACAAGUGUUUAAGGUUCCAAAGUUUUUGUUAAGUGAAAGUAAGGAAGUAUUUAAACUAUACAACCAGGAAAUAGGCUUAGAAGCGGCCAUUUUUUAAAGACCUCGUAACAGAGCACUGGUUCAAAUGGUUAAUUCGUUAACCUAAUUAGUUAAAAGCGCCGAAGAUAUAACGGAUCUAAAACAAAACACCGACACCUUGUCCAUAAUAAUUAUAUUAGGUAUAAUCCUAGUUUACUAUACUUAAAGGUUAUUUAAGUAUUAUUUAUGGGGUAGCGGAACAUUGGGUAAAUAGGUUUUAAAUAGAUAGUACUCCUUCGGUUCUAAAUAGAUAGAACUUACCUCUUUCCCAAGUGAGAGAAGGUUGGUCUUUUAUUAAUUUAUAAUAACUGACUAUACAGGAUAAUUUAUAGUUACGUCUAUUUCAUAAUUACAUUUGUAAUUUGCUCGCUAUAUAGCGGGUUACCGUACAUAUCCCAAGUGAGAAUGCUGACACGAGUAACGAAAAAGAGAACUUAGUAUUACACUACUAUGUAAAAUGUUCUCUCGCCUUAAGCUUAUGGGAAAGUUAAUCGGUCUCUAAAUUAAACCUAAAGGAUAAAAUGAUGAGGAGAUUAUAUGUGACAACAUAAAGAAAUGGAGUAAAAUGUUCUGGAAAAGCAUAUAAUAUACAAGAAAGGAGCAAUGAGGAAAUGGAGAAAUUGUUCUAGGUUAUAAACUAAAAAGAAGAUACUACUUCCUUGUAUAUACUAAAACCGUACCUAAAAACUACCACAAGUAAGCUAGUAGAGAAUACGAAGGCGUUUGAGCUAACAAUCAUUAAGGAACUCGGCAAAUUGACACCGUAACUGAGGGAGAAGGUGUGCCAUUCCUACUGAUUAAUAUCAGUUUAGGAAGAGGAGACAUAAAAUGGUGUUGCACGACUGUUUAAUUAAAACACAGCACUUUGCGUAAGAUGUAAAUCAAUGUAUAGAGUGCGCUAUCUGCCCAAUGAUGGCUGGUUAACGGAUUUACUUAGACGACUAAAAUAGGCUAGGUUUUGAAGGAACCCCCAUUUAAUGGCGGCCUUACCUAUGAGGGUCCUAAGGUAGCGAAAUACCUUGGCAUUUAAAUGAUGUCGCGCAUGAAUGAUCUCACGAUGCAACAGCUGUCUCAAUGAUUGGCUCAGUGAAAUUGGAAUGGCAGUGAAGAUACUGCCUAUCUCUAGAUAGACGAGAAGACCCCAUGCAGCUUUACUGUUACUAGUUAUAGGGUAUAAUUUAACAGGUUUUAGGGAAUAAGGUAGUUGAGCGACAAAAUUGAAACACCUUUACUCUGGUUGUUAUAUCAGUAGAAUAGGUUACAUUAUUGUAACUGACGUCUGAAUGUAAUCCAUAAAAGGAGGGAGAUUAUAUCAAGCUCAGGAGACAAUGGCUAGCAGAUGGUUUAUGCGGGGCACAGAUCCCAUAAAGAGUACCUGGGAGUAUCCAAAUUUAUUUUUGUAAUAUGCUAUACGCAAAUUAUAUAGGGCUUUUAUUAAAUAAUUGCCUUGUAUAUUUUAAUUUUUUAAUUACUAUAUUUAGUUUGUUAUUUUUUAUAUUUACAAUUUUUUUUUAAAAAUGUUACCCAAUUUUUUUUAUUGGGAUGUACAUUU